UCACUGAAGUGAUGCGAAAAAAAUAGGAUUGGUGUCUAUUUUUGUGAUUUUGUCACAUGACAGCUGGGGAACUGACCAAUGAGAAACCGCUUCCCUUGCACACCUUCAGUAAACAAUGGCAGAAGAAAAGAUAAUUCUUGCAGUAUCAAAAUACCCAGAGCUGUACAAUAAAGGACACAGAAAUUAUAAAGACACGGCAAUGAGGAAGAACAUCUGGCAGUCCAUUUCCAGGGAACUGGAUAUAGCUGCUGAUGAUACAAGCAGAGGAGAGUCGCCUAUCACAUCGUUCGAGUCUGUCUCCACUGGUGUGAAAGGUAGUGUCGCAACGAAAAUACCAUUUUAUCACAUGACAAAUCACAUCGUGUCCGGUGUGUGGAGCCCUUAAGGCUGAAUUUUUUUCACGGUAAUUGCGGAUUUCAUAUUUUCCGAUAAUUGUACCCAUUGCCAUGUAAUAUGUAGUUCCCUGUGAAAAUUCCCAUUUCUGAAAAAAUAAAAUAUAAGAUAUUGGGGGAAAACAUUCAUUUUGUAAUGUGGUAUUUAUUUUACAGUUUAAGUUCGUGAGAUGUGUUUGUUUGAAAUAAAAGUGUAUUCUCAAAAUAA